rnacentral:rRNA from 1 species
ACGUGGCGGAGGCUAACACUGCAGGUCUAGCGCGCCUUCGGGUGAGCGGCGGACGGGUAAGUAACGCGUGGGAACGUGCCCUUCUCUACGGAAUAGCCUCUGGAAACGGAGAGUAAUACCGUAUACGCCCUUUGGGGGAAAGAUUUAUCGGAGAAGGAUCGGCCCGCGUUAGAUUAGGUAGUUGGUGGGGUAACGGCCUACCAAGCCUACGAUCUAUAGCUGGUUUUAGAGGAUGAUCAGCAACACUGGGACUGAGACACGGCCCAGACUCCUACGGGAGGCAGCAGUGGGGAAUCUUAGACAAUGGGGGCAACCCUGAUCUAGCCAUGCCGCGUGAGUGAUGAAGGCCUUAGGGUCGUAAAG